GAUAUUUUUUGUUGUUGUUUCUUUUGUUAAUACUUUUAGGUAGCUGUGAUGUUCCAACCAGGUUACUCUUUGCAGCUCUCAAACGGCCUUAUAACCAACAGAAUUAUUUCCCAGCGGGUUCCGUUGUGGAAUAUGAGUGCCGUAGGAGCUACAAAAGGAAUCAUUCCCUGUCAGGAAAAGUAACUUGCCUUCAGAAUUUUACAUGGUCCAAACCAGAUGAAUUUUGUGAAAAAAAAUCGUGUCCUAAUCCUGGAGAAGUAAUAAAUGGUUAUGUUAAUAUAACAACUGACAUAUUAUUUGGUGCAUCCAUCAUCUUCUCAUGUAAAACAGGGUACAAAUUAGUUGGUGCAACUUCUAGUUACUGUAUUCUUAUGGGCAACACUGUUGACUGGAGUGAUCCAUUGCCAGAAUGCAAAGCUAAGAUGGUGAACAACAGCUCGACCAGGAGCUGAGCUGCCGUUG